CCUCCUCGGGCCGACGCGCUCGGGCCACCGCGCCGUUGGGCGUCUGAAGCGCUUCUUUAGCUCUGUAGCGCUAGAGCUGCAAGGCUAAUGUGGCUAACAGAUAAAGGAGGCUUAUAGUCACCGGAGCUUCUGCCCAGACUCUGCUGGAGGAAGUGGACUCUAGAACCAGCAGCUGACAUCAGCAUCGGGGCAGGUUGGCGCUGGAGUACCGCUAAAGUGCUCACAGUGCAGUUUUGCAGGUUUGCGUCCAGCUUGAUCCGAAGUCCGCUGUGCAAAUCCACGCGAAACUGACGGAGACGGUGAAGUCUCCAGACGGUUCUGAUCCGUUCCCCGCAGACUGGGAGCGGUGCUAAUGCUCUGCGUGUGGACCGGCCUGUGCAGGACUGUGGACGUUCUCUCGGCGGGUGACCAAUCAAAGGGGUAGCUCCACAGAUUUCCCUGUGUCCCUGAGAACACUGGUGUGCAUUAAUGUUACACAGCUUAAGAAAACUGAGUAACAAUGGAUGAAGUUUUCUACACUUUUGAUACUUAUUAACAAAUAAACAUUAGCAGCCACCUGGAA